rnacentral:rRNA from 1 species
AUUGAACGCUGGCGGCAUGCCUUACACAUGCAAGUCGAACGGCAGCACGGGGCAACCUGGUGGCGAGUGGCGAACGGGUGAGUAAUGCAUCGGAACGUACCUUUCAGUGGGGGAUAACGUAGCGAAAGUUACGCUAAUACCGCAUAUUCUGUGAGCAGGAAAGCAGGGGAUCGCAAGACCUUGCGCUGAUUGAGCGGCCGAUGUCAGAUUAGCUAGUUGGUGAGGUAAAGGCUAACCAAGGCGACGAUCUGUAGCGGGUCUGAGAGGAUGAUCCGCCACACUGGAACUGAGACACGGUCCAGACUCCUACGGGAGGCAGCGGUGGGGAAUUUUGGACAAUGGGGGCAACCCUGUUCCAGCCAUGCCGCGUGAGUGAAGAAGGCCUUCGGGUUGUAAAGCUCUUUCGGUCGGGAAGAAAUCGCAUGGGUUAAUUCCCUGUGCGGAUGACGGUACCGGCAUAAGAAGCACCGGCUAACUACGUGCCAGCCGCCGCGGUAAGAC